rnacentral:lncRNA from 1 species
AAAAAUCUUGAGGAGUUCCUGUCAUGGCUCAGCAGAAACAAAUCUGACUAGCAUCCAUGAGGACACACAUUCAAUACCUGGCCUUGCUCUGUGUGUUAAGGUUCCAGUGUUGCCAUGAGCUGUGGCAGACUUGGCUCAGAUCUGACAUUGCUGUGAUGUAGGCUCAUGGCUACAGCUCCAAUCAGACGCCUAGUCUUGGAACCUCCAUAUGCCACGAAUGUGGCCCUAAAAAGCAAAAACAUCUUGAGACAAGUGAAAAUGGAUGUAUAACACACUAAAACUUAUGAGAUGUAGCAAAAACAGUUCUAAGAGGGUAGUUCAUAGCAAUAAAUCCAUUCAUCCAUGAUGUUAUACACAGAAAAUCCUAAAGAUGCUACCAAAAAACUAUUAGACCUUGUCAAUGAAUUCAGUCAAGUUGCAGGAUAUGUAUUUAAUAUAUAGAAGUCUGUUGCAUUUCUAUACACUAACAAUGAAAGAUCAGAAAGAGAAAUUAAGGAAACAAUCACAUUUACCAUCACAUCAAAAAGAAUAAAAUACCUAGGAAUAAAACUACCUAAGGAGGCAAAAGACCAAUAUGCCAAAAAAUAUAACAUGCUGAUGAAAGAAACUGAAGAUAAUACAGACAAAUGAAAAGAUACAUCAUGUUCUUGGAUUGGAAGAUUUACUAUUAUUAAAAUGACCAUACUGCUCAAGGCCAGUUGUGGAGUCAAUGCAACCCCUAUCAAAUUACCAAUACAAAAAAAUUUUUUUAGUCUUUAUGGAAACACAGAAUACCCCAAAUAGCCAAAGAAAUCUUGACAAAGAACAGGGCUGGGGAAAUCACAUUCUCUGACCUCAGACUAUACUACAAAGCUACAGUCAUCAAAACACAAAAGUGUUUCUAUGUCUGUGGUAGUGGAACAAAACAGACAUAUAGAUCAAUAGAGUAGGAUAGAAAGCCCAGAAAUAAAUCCACACAUCUGUGGUCAAUUAAUCUAUAACAAAGGAGGCAAGAAUAUACAAUGGAGAAAAGGCAGUCUCUUCAAUAAGCUGGGGAAACAGGAUAGCUACAUAUCAAAGAAUGAAAUUAGAAUGUUCUCUAAUACUAUAUAUAAAAAGAAACAAGAUGCAUUAAUGACCUAAAUAUAAGAUCAAAUACUGUAAAACUCCUAGAGGAAAACAUAGGCAGAACACUUAUUGAUAUAAAUUGCAGCAUAUCUUUUUUGAUCCAUCUCUUAGAGUAAUAGAAAUAAAAGCAAAAAUUUAAAAAUUCAACUUAAAUUUAAAAGCUUUUGCACAGAAAAGGAAACCAUAAACAAAAUGAGAAGACAACUGAUGGAAUGGGAAAAAAUAUUUGCAAAUGAUGCAACUGGCAAGUGAUUAAUUUCCAAAAUAUACAAAUAGUUCACACAGCCUUAUAUAAAAAAAAAUAAAAAAUGGGCAGAUCUAAACAGACAUUUCUCCAAAGAAGACAAACAGAUGUCCAAAGCCACAUGAAAAGAUCUUCAAUAUCACUAAUUAUUAGAGAAAUCUAAAUCAAAGCUACAAUGAGAUACCACCUCACAGCACUCAGAAUGGCCAUCAUCAAAAACUCUACAAAUAAUAAAUGGUGGAGAGGGUGUGGAGAAAAAGCAACCCUCCUACACUGUUGGUAGGAAUGUAAAUUGGUGUAGUCACUAUGAAGAACAGUAUGGAAGUUAUAACUUAAAAAAACUAAAAUUAGAGCUACCAUAUGAUCCAGAAAUCCCACUCAUGGGCAUAUGUGCAGGGAAAAUAAUAAUUCAAAAAUAUACAUGCACAAAUACUACAGAGAACAGUAUGAAGAUUCCUUUAAGAACUAAACAUACCAUAUGACCCAGCAAUGCCACUCCUGGGCAUAUAGCACCCCAAUGUUCACUGCAGUUCUAUUUACAGUAGCCAAGACAUGGAAACAACCUAAUGUCGAUUGACAAAGGAAUGGAUUAAGAAGAUGGGGUACAUAUAUGCAAUGGAAUAUUACUCAGCCAUAAAAAAGGACAAAGCAAUGGCAUUUGCAGCAAUAAGGAUGGACCUAGAAAUCAUAUUAAGUGAAGUCAGACAGAGAAUGACAAAUAUCAUAUGAUGUCAUUUAUAUGGAGAUGCUAAUAAAAAUGAUACAAAACAACUUAUUUAUAAAACAAACUCACAGACUGCAAAAUCAAAUUUAGGGUUACCAAAGGAGAAACCAUGAGAGAUGGGGUAACUUGGAAGGGAUAAACACACACCCACACACACACACAAACACACACCCACCCACACACACAAACACACACACACACACUACUGUAUAUAAAAUAGAUAACUACCAAGGACCUACUUAGAGCACAGUGUGGUCUACUCAACGUUCUGUAAAAACCUGUAAGAGGAAGAAAGAAUGGAUGUAUGUAUAACAUUCAUUUUGCUAUGUAGCUGAAGCUAAUACAACAUGUACUCCAAUAAAAUUUUUUAAAAAGAAGAUACAUGCACUCCAAUGUUCAUAACAGCACUAUUUACAACUUCCAAGACAUGAAAGCAACAUAUGUCCAUUGACAGACGAAAGGAUAAAGAAGAUGUAGUAUAUGAAUACAAUGGAACAUUGCUCCGCCAUAAAAAAGAAUGAAAUAAUGCCAUUUGCAGCUGCAUGCAUGGACCUAGAAAUUAUCAUACAAAGUGAAGUCAGUCAGACAGAGAAAGACAAAUAUAUAAUAUCACAUGUGGACUCGUUAAAAAAGGACAUAAAUUAACUUAUUCGCAAAACAGAAAUGGACUCACAGAAAACAAACUUAUGCCUACCAAUGGUGAUAGUUGUGGCAGGAGGACAGAUAAAUUAGAGUUCAGGAUUAAAAUAUACACAUUACUAUACAUAAAUAGAUAAGAAACAAGAAUCUAUAGUAUAGUACAGGGAAUUAUACUCAAUAUCUUAUAACAACCUAUGUUGGGAAAGAACCUAAAAAAGAAUACAUGUUUAACAGAUGACUUUGCUGUACACCUCAAAGACAACACUAUAAAUCAACUAUGCUUCAAUAAAAAAUUUUUUAGGAGUUCCUUGGUGGCUCAGUGAGUUAAUGAUCUAGUAUUGUCAGUGCUGUGGCUCAUGUCACCACUAUGGUGCUGGUUCAAUCCCUGGCCCAGGAACUUCUACAUGCCAUGGGCAAAAAUAAAUAGAUAAAAAAAUAAAUAAGAAAAAAAUUUAAAUAAAUAUGAAAUUAAAGAAAAAGAUGGGCUUACUUCUUAUU